UAUGAUGUUAAUGACCAUCCACCAAUAUUUUUACAUGGUGUUUAUAACCCUCCAACUAUUUUUACACCAUGUGGUGGUAUCCAUCCCAUUGACAUAGACGGAAGAGAUAGCGGUCGUCUAACUGGAUAUUGUAAAACUGCUUUGAAAGCAUUCAACAAACACAAUCAUCAGGAUCCAAAAUUUGAUUUUGAUAGCCUCGUCAAGGCAAACCGUUUGCUUCCUGGAUAUUUUUAUAUUACCUUUAAGGCAAAAAAACAAGAUGAUGCUUCCCCAACAAUUUUCCAGGCCAGUGUUAAGAAGAAGUUUGAUCGUUCCAUUGAGGUCAUCUCUUGUGCCAUCAAAAAAGACUAACCAGGUCUUCUGAAGCUCAGAAUGGUGGACAGUCGAAAAGAAUGUUAUCGGUCAAAUUCCUCCAUUUAUUUUCAACCAAAACUAUUGAUAUGUGCUCGUCAAACCAAAGCUAUUGAUAUGCGUUUUAUUGUCUUUUGUUCUUUUGGGCUUAGGUGGCCACAUUCUG